GGUCAAGUCCUGUACAGCAGCAGAGGGCAAAACCCCGUGAGGUCCGGAAGGAAGCAGCGGUAUGUUCAACGGUUGUGUGAUGCAGGGUAGCUUGACCUCG
rnacentral:SRP_RNA from 1 species